ACUGCAGUCAUGCCUGGGGCUAGGCUGCAUCCCAGGGAGGCUGUUGGGGAUACUGGAUCAAGGGCUUUGCAAUCACACCCGGGUUAGGAGGCAGGCUGCAAGCUAAGAAGAAUUAACCUCUUCUCUUCUUUCUGCGAGGACAAGGUUUUCCCAGACUCGGAGGCAAGGGGUGGCCUGCCUGCUGGACCUGUUUGAUAAAGGCCAGAUCUUGGAAGCCAGCCAAGAAAAGGCGCUCGGUUGUUGAAGGAUCCAGUGUGCUUAGGUUCCUUUAGUCAUGGUAGUCAUCAGAGCAUCAGAAGUCAGACUGGAACAGGUACUUGCUACCAAGCUGGAUGACCUGAAUUCUCUCGCCUGGACCCCCAUGGAGGAUGAAGAAGAUUGACUCUUGUAUGUUGUCCUUCGUCCUCCGCAUGUGUGCCACAUCACACACACAUGCUCCCACCUAAAUAAAAAUAGAACCUGAGUUGUAUCUCUGACGCUGACUGGAGAGAGCAUUCUAAAUAGCCUGUAAAAAAAAAUUCUGUGUACCUAUAUCUAUACCUAUGGGUAUAGGUUUUCUGGUAAAAACCAAGACAGCUGUCUCCUCCCCCUUUUAAAGUUAAUCCAAAUGGUACUGUCAACCACCUGGACAGGAAACCCCUCUCAGGAAGCUGUGUGUUCCCUAGAGUUUAAAAACCAGUUAUGGUCAGCUUAGCUAUGAUGGAGGUAAAAUCCUUUGGUGAUGUGAGGGUCAUUGAAAUACAGCCUUAUUACAAUGAAAC